GAUGAAGAACGUAGCGAAAUGCGAUAAGUAAUGUGAAUUGCAGAAUUCAGUGAAUCAUCGAAUCUUUGAACGCACAUUGCGCCCCUUGGUAUUCCGGGGGGCAUGCCUGUUCGAGCGUCAUUUCAACCCUCAAGCUUAGCUUGGUAUUGAGUCUAUGUCAGUAAUGGCAGGCUCUAAAAUCAGUGGCGGCGCCGCUGGGUCCUGAACGUAGUAAUAUCUCUCGUUACAGGUUCUCGGUGUGCUUCUGCCAAAACCCAAAUUUUUCUAUGGUUGACCUCGGAUCAGGUAGGGAUACCCGCUGAACUUAAGCAUAUCAAUAAGCGGAGGA
rnacentral:misc_RNA from 1 species